GAUGAACGCUGACAGAAUGCUUAACACAUGCAAGUCAACUGUGGCGGACGGGUGAGUAACGCGUAAAGAACUUGCCUCACAGUUAGGGACAACAUUUGGACACGAAUGCUAAUACCUGAUACUGUGAGAGGGCUUUGCGUCCAAUUAGCUAGUUGGAGAGGUAACGGCUCACCAAGGCGAUGAUGGGUAGCCGGCCUGAGCGGGGGAUCGGCCACAAGGGGACUGAGAAACGGCCCUUACUCCGACUGGAGGCAGCAGUGGGGAAUAUUGGCCAAUGGACCAAAGUCUGAUCCAGCAAUUCUGUGUGCACGAUGAAGUUUUCGGAAUGUAAAGUGCUUUCAGUUGGGAAGCGGUACCAACAGAAGAAGUGACGGCUAAAUACGUGCCAGCAGCCGCGGUAAUUC
rnacentral:rRNA from 1 species